UGAAAAAAUCUUUUUUUACGGGUUAAAUCCCAUUUAAAAUUGAAGGGCGGAGCGCCAGCUCCUGUUACGUCCAAUCAAGCUCAUAUUUUGGAUUUGGGCUCAGUAUGCCCACCGGAACAAACCCCUGAAUGCCCGCCAAAAAGUCAUUUUUGUUACACUCUAGUACUUAUACAAACAUACAUACAAACAUACUUUUAUUCAUUAAAUCAAUUGUUUUAAUUUUUCAGUUAUUGGAUCCAUCUGGUGCAAAACUGUGAACAUAGUUUAGUUUGUGUGCCUGUGUGGAUUAAUCGGACCGCGCACUGGACUCACAAUCCAGAGGUCGCCGGUUCGAAUCCCGAGGCAGACGCAAAAAUUCUAAUUGUUAAUAUAGGUAUUCGGUGCCCUCUCCCCGUGCCAUACCUUCACACUUAGGAGACCCGGGAGGCGGAGUCUUGUCGCACAAAGAACGAUACACGCCUGGGGAUCCGUUGACGAAACUGCAAGGUUUAAGAGGGCCACAUUAUAAGGUGUUACAGAGAAACCUCUUUUUACGCGGUGGCGUUACGCUUUUUGUUUCGUAGAUUUCUCUUAAACCAUACAAUAUUUUUGCAAGCUUCAAAAAGCGUUUUGUAGGUCUGAACAAAACCUGCAAAUUGCUUUUAAUGUUGCGUCGUUCCAGAGAAAUCGACAAAUCAGUAAAACGUAACGCACCGCGUAAAAAGAGUUUUCACUGUACAUCGAUUCCGUUUUUUUUUAGUUUAGUUUAGGUGAACCGUCUGAACAAAAAAAAAAACAGAACUGUACUGCCGCUCAAAUCAAGUCCGUCCCAUAUGUAAUUUUGUCUAUAUUGAGUUAACGAAGCAGAUUGGUUCGAAAUCAUGUAUACUACACAGAAAAAAAUAAUGUAAAUUUGGAAGCUGUAAUUUUGGAAGGUUGAAUAUUACCUCUUUUAUGAUGUAAUUUUACCUCAAUUUAGACUGAAAAAGUGACAUUACACCAGAAAAGUGGUAAAAUUACACAUUUCCAGAGGUAAAAUUACACCUUUUUUCUGACAUAAAAGAUGUACCCCUUCCCAGAUGUAAUAUUACCAUGAUUUUUUUUCUAUGUAUCAGAUAAACCAAUACACUUUAGUACCUUGUUCCAGAAAACCGUAACACGUCAGCUUGCUGUUACAUUUGAACGGACUCGAUUAGAGCGGCAGUGUACUAACGUUACUAUUUUUGUAAUGUCUCGAUUUUGGUGUCGCUUAUUUCAUUUUUUUGUCGUUUUUCAAAGUUAAAUUAAUUAUUCUAUUUGAAGCGUUUAAGACUGUCAAUUGUUUUGCAAUAUGCCUAUUUUUACAUUUAUUUGUAUUUUAACAAUAAUUGAAAAUUCAAGUUGCCAAAUUCGGGACACUUUGUAAAUACCAAUUAAAACUAGUAAGAUUACGAUUUUGGAAUCAAUAAAACAUUUCUCUGGUUAGUUUGCAGUGCGUGGUAACAGCCAUCGCGAUCUUCGAAAUUUAUUGACUUUUUGACAAAGGACUUUGUCUUAAAGCUCUAUCUGCGGUGUCAAUGCAAAAUUUUUCGAAAAUGUAGCGUUACCGUCGCAUGCCCUCGGCGUGACAUUUUGUUUCUGUUGCGUGGAUGCCGUGCCAACUAUUUAAGCUAAAAGUUAGCCUCUGGAGGAUUUAGUGUACAUCAGACUUUCAUCAAAGACGGUCCUUACGUUGGGAAUUUUAUUGCUUACACACAAACGCACACGUUGAAAGAAACAGGUGGUGCACAAACUUGAGAGGAGGUCCAAGAAGUUAUUGACGGUUGCCAGAACGGUCACCGGCAUACCGAAGUGAUUGGGAACAAUUUGGUAGGCUAUCGGCCACACCCGGAGUGGCCAGUGCCCUUAGGGAAGGUUCUACCGGGGACAUUUUGUAACGUUCUGCGUUGAUUUGGGAAUUUAUAGUUUAUUUUUUUAUUUAAUUGGUAGAAAUAAUGCACAUCUUUACCCUACUCAUAUUCUAAGGUUCGUUUCCAAUAAGCGAAAGCUUGUUUCUUGGCUGCAGGGUUAUAGUAUUAGUAAGUCUUAAAUACCAUGGGUACGUUCUUGAGUACGUUGGUUGUAUUUUUAGUUUGCUAUAAAGUAUUGCGAGUUUUGCGCGCGGGGUCGUAUCUGUAAAUACCAAGAGUGUGCAUGUGGGUGGUUAGAAAAUUUGCAGUUCAAAAUAUAGGUGGCAGUAAAUACUUAGUUUAAAAAAAAAUUUAAUUAUUCUUAACUAUUUAAUUCCAUUGGGUAACACAAAUGUCAAAAAUCCUCUGAGUCAUGACGAAGAGGGUUGCUGGCUAGAAAAGUUUUCCAACUCGUCCAUUUCGAUUACGGAGCGGCUGGAAUAAAGAAGUGCGCGUCGCGAGCAAUCUUUAUAAAAGUUAAUUUUUUCCUUUUUACGUUCAAUUUUUCUAAGGUAAAAGUGUAUAUGGUGCGAGUGCUUUGAAGUGAAUUAACUUAAAUAUUUUCCUAUCCAUUUUUUGUAGUUCUUUCGAAUUUAUUGAAACUUAAAUAAAUUUCGCGUCGAACUUCUUUAGUGAAAUAAUCUUUCGUAAAAUAAAAGGUAAAGUAAUUGAAUUAUAUUAGGAGUUGUGGGAGCUAAUUAGUUGCAUUGGACAGCAGCGUCGUCCCACGGCGCUUUUUAUUACGGGCUGGAUUUUUCUUCGCGGGGUCUGCGGAUUUCGUGCGUCGAGGCGAUCAGCUACAAGCGUCGCCAUCUUGUCGUUUGGAGGUUAAAGUUCGGAUUUUGGGCAAGCUGCCUGGCAGCGCCGCCAUCUUGUGCUAGGAGCGAUUAAAGGGUCGCAAGCUCGUGUGCCACGUUACGGCCCGCCCAUUGGGGUAGCUAAACAGAGGCGAGUGGCAAGUUCGUUAAAUUAACCGUAACGAAAUUAACGCAGUGGUCGUCAAUUGCCACCGUCGUUUAAAGUCACCAAAGAGGUGACAGCCGAGAGCCGGUAUUCGCUGUGCGCGCCAAUUACGUUCAGUGUUUGCCAGUCCAAGGGGAGGGUUCCCGUGGCCUUUAUCGGUUGUGUAGACGGAAACAGUAGUACGUGAAGGCCGGUAUUGAUACCCCAGCGUCCCUUCCUGCGGAAAUAAUCCGGAUUAGCUCGAUUCGUCGUGCGUAGUGCUCUCUGGCCCCGAAACCGGAAGUCUUCCGCCAGCCGCGCCACCCUCUGCACCUUUAAUUCGGCCAAUUUGCACACGAGCGACCCCCGCGUGUCACCACACCGAACACGCCGGUUAUCGGAGCAAACCCAGACGCCAUCUUGCGGCCCAAGGCCGAACCGAACGAGUUCGUCGUUUACCAAGCAGCGGACCACUGGGAGGACUACUAAACGCGCCUGUUGCAGCGCGCUGAAGGAACACCACGAAGCGUCGCACACCCCUGGUCGUGCGACAUCCACACUGCCAGCAGCGUGUUCAUCGGAGCGGCGCCGGCAUCGGAGCAACGUGUUCAUCGGCGGUGGAUUCGCCGCGCUCACGCACACCACCGUAAGCCCGAAAAACCUGCGCAGGUAUGUGGGAAAAUUUUAUCAUGGCCAUGAGGUUUUUCCCCGGGGGGCUGUCCAAUGCUAGGGAGAUUGUAGGGGAUAGGUUUGUGAGGGAUUAAAGAAAGUGAAAUGAAAAAUCUUUAGUUUUUCUUUGGUUUCGACGGAGUAAAAAGUUUGAUGGUUCUUGGAACCAGAAAUAAAUUCAUGCCUUAAAUCACUCACACUGUUUUAUUAUUUACGUUCUUUACGUUCGUUUUUGGAUAUCCAUUCCUUAUUUUCCGAUUCUCUUUAGCGGUUUGAAUGGUUGAAAAGUGUUUCGCUGUGAACCUUCUGGAUUCAAAUAGUCGAUUAAGGCUUUGUUUGCCACACUGUUUAUUAUCUACCUGAUUUCGAGCAACUCUUGGUAUUGAACAGAUCUGACGUUUCACGCAUUUAAACCGUAUUAACGACCCUGAAAGAAUUAAACCUCAUGCUUAGUCGGGCAAUUAAAACAUGACAAGUGGUCUCUCAACUUGAGAGUGGCGCAUAAGCCACUGUGUUACAGGCUUUCCCUAGCUCGGUUGGGUGAACGGUUACAUUGGCGCCCAACGCAAAAUUGAUAAAUAUCAUUUUCGAGAUUGCCUUGUCUAAAUUGUUUUUUUUCCCUCUGAUACUUUACAAGGAAGGGAGAAUAUAUUUUCGAAUAUUGCGUUUGCAUCCUCCAUCUAUUAUUAUUAUUUUUUUUUUUAAUAUUUUCGAUAUUUUUUUUUAUUGAACUCAACGUUUUGUAUAUAUAUAUUUUUUUUCCAUAUUCUAAAUUGGUUGUAGUUUAAUAUUGAAUUGGAGUUUCUUAACUUUCGUUUAGAUUUUUAAAUUUAAAGUGUCAAAAUGGUUCGAUUUUACAUUUUACCGAAUCCUGAAUAUUUGGAAGAGGAGGAGGUGGAUUUCGAGUUGACGAUGAAAAGGGAAUAUGAUGCUGAUCAAAAUUUGAGUGAGAAAAGAAGACUUCUCAGGGCAAUUUUCAAGGAUGAAAGAAGUAAUCCAGCUCCGGUUUAUUCUGAGUUCAAUAUUUUAAAGGAGAUCGAUAUUCUAAUUCCACAAAUUGGAGAUGCUGAUAAAAGAUUAAGGACAAAAUUUGAGUACAGAGACGUGUCACGUUUGCGACACUUUCUGAGAAGGCUGACAGCAGCAACGGCUAAUAAUGAUAGCGAAAUUAUAAAACGUACGGAAAUGUGCAAAUUAGUGGAGAACAUCUUAAGGGGACAUAAACAAAGAGUAACAUAUGACCCAACUGAAUUAGUAUCUGAGACCGACAAAGAAAGCAAACAUGAUGAGGAAGCAGCAAACAAAUCAUGGAGAAACCCUGAUAAGUCUGCGCUAGUUCAAAAGUACAAGACCCCUCAGAAAGGGCUCGAUGAAGUCGAGACCGAGUCGGGAGAGGAUAGUAAACAUAAUUAUGAGAAAGGAAAACCGAAACUUUUUGGAACAGGGAAGGACAAAACUAACUCAACAGGAACCGGGACCAAACCAAAAAAACCUCUGGUUUCGAAAGAUGAUUUAGCAGAGUUACUAAAACAAUAUCUGGAUCUAAACUCUACUCAAGGUAGAAAUAAAGGAAACAGUUAUAAGAAGGAAUCUGGAGGUCUUGGGGAAUUUCAGGAUAGUGAGUCAGGAGUUGUUGGAAAAAAUGAAAUGUAUAAAAAUAACCAGGGGGAAAAAGGUACACGGAAUCGCUCCAGAUUUUGUUGGUCUUCGGAGGACUCUUUACCAGAUCGACGGGAUAGGCACGGAGGUAAAAACCGAAACCACUCGAUAGACUCUUUACCAGAUCGACGGGAUAGGCACGGAGGUAAAAACCGAAACCACUCGAUAGAUUCGUCGCCAGAUCGACGGGAACGGCACGGAGGUACAAACCGAAACCGCUCGAUAGAUUCGUCGCCAGAUCGACGGGAUAGGCACGUAGGCAAAUACCGAAACCGCUCGAAAGAUGCUUCACCAGCUCGACGGGGUCGGCAUAACCAUAGGCACAGAGACCAAAAUUCAUUUGAGGAAUCUUCAACCGAUCGACAGAGGCGACACAGGGAGAGAAAUAGAAAUAGAAACCUCAGACGGAACAGAUCUUCACCGAACAGUAGUGAUUCAGGGGAGGGAUAUCCAGAGUCAGGACAUCGAAGACGUCAGUAUAGCAGAGAGCGGUACCCAAGAGGAGGAAACCGACACUCCAGGGUUGAGCACUGGGACAUCAGCUUCAGUGGAGAUGUCAAAUCGCUCCAAGUUGAAGAUUUUUUAACAAGAAUUCGAAAAUUAGCUAGACAUGAACAGGUAGGACAGCACGAACUAUUGAAUAAAAUUCAUUACAAACUGAAAGGGGAAGCUAAUGAUUGGUGGUUCACCCGAGAGCAUAGAUGUACGACAUGGGACAGAUUUGAGAGGGAAAUUAGGUUCCGUUUUGGAAAUCCGAAUAGGGAGCGAGGAAUACGUGCGCAACUUAAAGAUCUAGAGCAAAAGAGGGGUGAAAAAUUUGUUGCUUAUGUCAACGAGGUAGAAAGAUUAAAUCAGUGUCUUAAACACCCACUUUCUGAACGGGAAAUUUUUGAGUUGGUAUGGGAUAAAAUGCGACCCCAUUACAGGUCCAAACUUGUAACUGUAACGGUGAACAACCUAGAUGAGUUAUUAGCGGUUAACCGCAGAAUCGACGCAACUGACCCAACGUUGUACAGGUCGGGAGGACACUCAAGAAAUGAAAUUCAGCAUGUAAGAGGUCAGGAUGGUUUUGAAGACGAGUACUCGUCAGAAGAAGAAGCUUCAGUAAACGCAGUUCAGCGGAAGUUCAAAGAUGAUAGGAAACCCUCAAAACCAAACGGACAAUCGGUUGAGUCGCGAAGUGCACAGGUAACUGAAGAUCCAGAGAUUUUGUGCUGGAAUUGUCGAAAAAUGGGUCAUCAUUGGAGAACAUGCAGGGAAACUAAACUAGUGUUUUGUUACGCGUGUGGAAAUAUUGGACGUACCACUCGAACGUGUGAAAUGAACCACCCUAUUCAACAGGUGCAAGCACGCACCCAGAAUAGCUCAGGUAAUCAUCAGCAAUCGUUAAACUAGAGGCGGAAUGUUCUUCGGGGAACCCACUCAUUCCGCUUAAGAAAGAGGUUCCUCCAAACCCGAAUAUAGAAGAGACACAAUUUCAAAAAUUUAAGCAGGUUUUGACUAUCAGAGUUGAUCCAAAUUUAAGUCCAAAAAUUAAGGUUUCCAUUUUUGAUAGCGAUAUUAUCGCUUUGUUGGAUUCGGGAGCUAAUAUAAGUGUCCUAAAUUCAACUAAAUUUUUACGAAAACAUGGUCUUAAACUGUUUAAAGCAAGUGUUUCAAUUUGCACAGCAGACAACACGGAACACGAAUGCUUAGGAUACGCCAACAUCCCCUAUACAUUUGCGGGGGUGACUAGGGUAAUUCCAACUAUUAUUGUGCCACAACUUUCUAAGCCACUGAUUCUAGGAAUGGAUUUUUGGAACGCUUUUCAGAUUCGCCCAAUGAUCCAAGGAGAGGGUAGAAUGACCGAUAUUGACCUUUUAGAUGUUAAUGGUGAACCAAUUGGGAAUUUAACGACGGAAGAAUUGUUGGUAGAUCAAUAUAUCAACAGGGAAAAUGAGAUUAAUUUAACUGUUUGUGCACUAGAAUUGACUGAACAAGAACAAUUUUUCCAUCGUGCUCAACCAGAAGAAGAUGAGUCACUCGACGUGCCUUCCCUGGAACUUCCAAACAAUCCGGAAGAGGCCAUUGAAAAUAUAGAAACUGAACACGAACUAACUUCUCCAGAAAGAGAAAAGUUAACGGAAACUUUAAAACAUUUUCAGUGGACUAGCGAAUCUAAACUUGGUAGAACCACUCUAAUUGAACACGAAAUCGAAAUAAUGGAAGGGGCAAAAAUGAGAGAUUUACCUAUGUACAAAUAUUCACCAAGCAUGUGGGAGAAAAUUGAAAAAGAAUUAGAAAGAUACGAACAAUUAGACGUUAUUGAGGAAUGCACCAGUGAAUCAGCUAGUCCUUUAGUACCAGUAAAGAAAUCCAACGGUAAACUACGCGUUUGUCUUGAUUCAAGAAGAAUAAAUUCCAUUACUAAAAAAGAUGCAUAUCCUAUGCGAAACAUGAAUGAAAUUUUCCACAGACUGCAGAAGGCCAAAUAUUUUAGCAUAAUCGAUUUAAAAGAUGCAUAUUUUCAAAUCCCCUUAAAGGAAUCUUCAAGAAAUUUGACAGCUUUUAGAACCCCAAAGGGCCUAUUUCGAUUUAAAGUAGUCCCCUUCGGUCUCAAAAAUGCUCCAUUCACUAUGAGUAGGUUAAUGAAUAAAGCAAUUGGGUUCGAUUUAGAGCCGUACGUGUUCAUCUACCUAGAUGACGUGGUGGUGGCAACUGAAUCGUUAGAAGAACAUUUUAGGCUCUUGAGAGAGGUCGCCGAAAGAUUGAAGAAAGCUAAUUUAACAAUCUCAGUCGAGAAGAGUAGAUUUUGUCGAAAUCAAGUUAGAUAUUUAGGGUAUUUAUUGACAGAAAAUGGCUUAGCCAUUGACAGCAGCAAACUAGAACCGAUUCUCAACUACUCUCGUCCAAAGUGCAUCAGAGAUGUAAGAAGAUUGAUGGGUUUAAUGGGUUUUUACCAAAAAUUUAUCAAAAACUACAGUCACGUGACAGCACCUAUUACUGAUCUUCUAAAAAAGGAAAAAAAGUUCAAGUGGACAGAAGCAGCAGAAAGUGCACUAGAAGAACUUAAGUCGGUCCUAACUUCGUCGCCCGUACUCGCGAACCCGAUUUACAAUCGUCCAUUCAUAAUUGAAACCGAUGCAUCCGAACUCGCAGUCGGCGCAGCAUUGUUACAAGAUUUUCCAGAUGGGAGAAGAAUAAUUGCGUAUUAUAGUAAAAAACUUUCAAGUACCCAACGUAAAUACGCGGCCACAGAAAAAGAGUGUCUAGCGGUAGUCCUAGCAGUAGAGAAUUUCAGACAUUAUGUUGAGGGAACAACGUUUGCUGUAAUUACCGACGCGAAAAGCAUUACAUGGUUAUUUUCAAUCUCCGCCACGAACGGAAACUCGCGAUUACUGCGCUGGGCACUGAAACUUCAGUCCUACGAUUUCUCAAUUCAAUAUAGAAAAGGAAAAGAUAACAUAUUAGCGGAUUGUUUAUCUAGAAUAGAAACACUUCAAACGGUAGACAACGACUACGCCGAGUUGCGCGACAGGAUUAGAAAAAAUAGCAACAAAUUUUCCGACUUUAAGGUGGCAGGCAAUAAAAUUUUCAAAUACGUCCACGAUUCGAACACCGUUCAGGAUAAACGUUUUCUCUGGAAGUACUAUCCUCAGAUGAGCGAAAGAAGUGAUUUGAUUAGGGUAGCCCACGAACCAGGUCACUUAGGAUACGAAAAAACCAUCGCGAAGCUAAGAGAACGUUAUUUUUGGCCCAAAAUGGCUCAGGAAACCAAAGUUUACUGCAAAUCCUGUUUACCGUGUAAAACGUCCAAAAGUACCAACAUAAAUACCACCCCACCGAUGGGUUCUCAAAAACAGAAUUGUGAUUAUCCAUGGCAAUUUAUUACAUUAGACUACUUAGGCCCGUUUCCACCUUCGGGCAAAGCUAGGAGCACUUGCCUUUUAGUAGUAACAGAUGUUUUUACAAAAUUUGUACUAAUACAACCAUUUAGGAGAGCGACGGCGAGUACGCUAGUUCAUUUUCUAGAACAAUCAAUUUUUCUAUUAUUUGGCGUACCGGAAAUAAUUCUAUCUGACAACGGAAGUCAGUUCACUUCUAAAAUGUUUGCAGACUUGUUAAAACACUAUGGAAUCAACCAUUGGCUCACCCCGUCAUACCACCCCCAAGUUAAUAACUCAGAGAGGGCAAACAGGGUGAUCACCACAGCGAUUAGGGCAACGAUCAAAUCGAAUCAUAAAACAUGGGCGGAUAACAUACAAAACAUAGCAAACGCGAUUAGGAAUGCAACUCACGAUUCAACUAAAUAUACACCUUACUUUCUCACGUUUGGCCGAAAUAUGAUUUCUGACGGUCGAGAAUACGACAUGAUAAGGGAAACUAACGCUCAGAGUCAAGAAAUGGAAAUAAACGACGAAGAAAGAAAGAAAUUGUAUGAACAAGUAAGAAUGAACCUCAAAAACGCGUACACAAAACAAGCAAAAUAUUACAAUUUACGUUCCAACGUAAAAGCACCGAAAUAUCAAGUAGGUGAAAAGGUCCUCAAGAAAAGUACAUUCUUGUCUGAUAAGGGGAAAGACUUUUGCGCGAAGCUCGCACCCAAGUACACGGAAGCGAUUGUCAGCAAAGUGUUAGGGGAUAGCUACCAAUUAGAGGAUUUAUCAGGGAAAUCGAUCGGUAUUUUCCAUGCCUCGUUUCUCAAAAAGUUCUAACCUUAGGGUGGACCAGCUAUGACAUCUUCUUUUAGAAUUUUACAACGGCUUUGCCUAAAAAAAAAACGUCUAGGUACCACCCUAGUAACGGUAAACAUAACAACGUUGAUGUGCAUGCAUUGACAAACACUUUAUUCUGUAAUUAAACAACAUAAACAUAACUCACUGUAUUUUUUUUCCAUUGUAAAUAUUUUCUAUUCUGAUUUUUCGUGCGUUGUCACUUUUCAUUGAUUAUUUUGUAGAUUGUAAUUUGUAGCAUAAGUAUGUAGGCUCCAUUCUUGUUUACAGCAGCAUAAAUUCCCAUUGUUGUUGGCCAGUUGAGUCGUAGCAACGUAGAUGAUUUUCUUUUGCGGUUCUCUGAUAUUUUUUUUGUUAAUUUUUCCUAGAAAUAAGUAGAAAACGGUUAGAAUAAUGAAUUUUGUGUAGAAUUACCAAAUACUCUCCAGAUUUAGGCCACUAGUUUGCAGUUUUUCCGUUUUCCGAGAUUUUUCACGUGAAUUCAUAAAUUCCUUCCCACGUUUGUUUUGUUUCGAAAUCUGUCAGCGACGCUGUCAAAGCUUUGCAGGGUUGCUUUUAAUGCUGUCAGUUGAAUGUUGCAGUAUGGUGUUGCGCGACUGUCGCACAAGUUUUAAUUUAUAGCAACCAAAUUUCUAUAGAUGUGUCAAACUGACGGUUGAUGUUUAGAUUUUUGGAAGCUGUAAAAUUAACCAAAGUUUACGAAAGUGCCGAAAGUCAAUCAAGAAGUCAAUAUUUGGAUUGAUGUUGUUGAUUUGAAGCAAAAUUUUAAGUGAAUACAUGAGUUUACGAGUUGUCGGGACAUUUCCGAUAUGGUAGACGCGGUACAAGCUUUGUUUACGUUUUGAGUUGAGAGGUGGUUUUGAUAUUCUGCGUUCUAUGCUGCGAUUGGGAAAGGCCCAAUAAUAUAGACAAGCAGUUAUUUUUGAUUUUGUUGUUGUUUUUAAGAAACCCUUGCAGGAUUUGAUGACGGAUGCAAACACAAUUUCUUUCACUACUACAUGGUUUGAACUUUUUUUCUUUAGUAUUUGUUAUAAAAGUUAAACAAUUGUAAAUAUGUUUACUUAUAGUUAGUUGUUUAUUUCUUAAUGGAGUUAUUUUUUAGUUUAUAUUUGGGUUAUGAAAAUUUGAUCAAUUUUCAUUGAUCAAAUUUUCAUAAAAUUGCGUGGUGUGAUGUAACGUUCUGCGUUGAUUUGGGAAUUUAUAGUUUAUUUUUUUAUUUAAUUGGUAGAAAUAAUGCACAUCUUUACCCUACUCAUAUUCUAAGGUUCGUUUCCAAUAAGCGAAAGCUUGUUUCUUGGCUGCAGGGUUAUAGUAUUAGUAAGUCUUAAAUACCAUGGGUACGUUCUUGAGUACGUUGGUUGUAUUUUUAGUUUGCUAUAAAGUAUUGCGAGUUUUGCGUGCGGGGUCGUAUCUGUAAAUACCAAGAGUGUGCAUGUGGGUGGUUAGAAAAUUUGCAGUUCAAAAUAUAGGUGGCAGUAAAUAAUUAGUUUAAAAAAAAUUGAAUUAUUCUUAACUAUUUAAUUCCAUUGGGUAACACAAAUGUCAAAAAUCCUCUGAGUCAUGACGAAGAGGGUUGCUGGCUAGAAAAGUUUUCCAACUCGUCCAUUUCGAUUACGGAGCGGCUGGAAUAAAGAAGUGCGCGUCGCGAGCAAUCUUUAUAAAAGUUAAUUUUUUCCUUUUUACGUUCAAUUUUUCUAAGGUAAAAGUGUAUAUGGUGCGAGUGCUUUGAAGUGAAUUAACUUAAAUAUUUUCCUAUCCAUUUUUUGUAGUUCUUUCGAAUUUAUUGAAACUUAAAUAAAUUUCGCGUCGAACUUCUUUAGUGAAAUAAUCUUUCGUAAAAUAAAAGGUAAAGUAAUUGAAUUAUAUUAGGAGUUGUGGGAGCUAAUUAGUUGCAUUGGACAGCAGCGUCGUCCCACGGCGCUUUUUAUUACGGGCUGGAUUUUUCUUCGCGGGGUCUGCGGAUUUCGUGCGUCGAGGCGAUCAGCUACAAGCGUCGCCAUCUUGUCGUUUGGAGGUUAAAGUUCGGAUUUUGGGCAAGCUGCCUGGCAGCGCCGCCAUCUUGUGCUAGGAGCGAUUAAAGGGUCGCAAGCUCGUGUGCCACGUUACGGCCCGCCCAUUGGGGUAGCUAAACAGAGGCGAGUGGCAAGUUCGUUAAAUUAACCGUAACGAAAUUAACGCAGUGGUCGUCAAUUGCCACCGUCGUUUAAAGUCACCAAAGAGGUGACAGCCGAGAGCCGGUAUUCGCUGUGCGCGCCAAUUACGUUCAGUGUUUGCCAGUCCAAGGGGAGGGUUCCCGUGGCCUUUAUCGGUUGUGUAGACGGAAACAGUAGUACGUGAAGGCCGGUAUUGAUACCCCAGCGUCCCUUCCUGCGGAAAUAAUCCGGAUUAGCUCGAUUCGUCGUGCGUAGUGCUCUCUGGCCCCGAAACCGGAAGUCUUCCGCCAGCCGCGCCACCCUCUGCACCUUUAAUUCGGCCAAUUUGCACACGAGCGACCCCCGCGUGUCACCACACCGAACACGCCGGUUAUCGGAGCAAACCCAGACGCCAUCUUGCGGCCCAAGGCCGAACCGAACGAGUUCGUCGUUUACCAAGCAGCGGACCACUGGGAGGACUACUAAACGCGCCUGUUGCAGCGCGCUGAAGGAACACCACGAAGCGUCGCACACCCCUGGUCGUGCGACAUCCACACUGCCAGCAGCGUGUUCAUCGGAGCGGCGCCGGCAUCGGAGCAACGUGUUCAUCGGCGGCGGAUUCGCCGCGCUCACGCACACCACCGUAAGCCCGAAAAACCUGCGCAGGUAUGUGGGAAAAUUUUAUCAUGGCCAUGAGGUUUUUCCCCGGGGGGCUGUCCAAUGCUAGGGAGAUUGUAGGGGAUAGGUUUGUGAGGGAUUAAAGAAAGUGAAAUGAAAAAUCUUUAGUUUUUCUUUGGUUUCGACGGAGUAAAAAGUUUGAUGGUUCUUGGAACCAGAAAUAAAUUCAUGCCUUAAAUCACUCACACUGUUUUAUUAUUUACGUUCUUUACGUUCGUUUUUGGAUAUCCAUUCCUUAUUUUCCGAUUCUCUUUAGCGGUUUGAAUGGUUGAAAAGUGUUUCGCUGUGAACCUUCUGGAUUCAAAUAGUCGAUUAAGGCUUUGUUUGCCACACUGUUUAUUAUCUACCUGAUUUCGAGCAACUCUUGGUAUUGAACAGAUCUGACGUUUCGCGCAUUUAAACCGUAUUAACGACCCUGAAAGAAUUAAACCUCAUGCUUAGUCGGGCAAUUAAAACAUGACAAGUGGUCUCUCAACUUGAGAGUGGCGCAUAAGCCACUGUGUUACAGGCUUUCCCUAGCUCGGUUUGGUGAACGGUUACAAUUUACGCCAUACGCCUUGGGGCAAUCAAAAAUCAAAUCAAAUUAUUCGCUCUACAGCAUUGCCUUGGCGUUCUCGAUUGCGAGAUUCCUACUCAAAACUAGGUGUUCGAAGGCUUGAUUGUUGAGGCAAUUGCAAACCUCUUUUUACACCUUAGCUUCCAUCCAUCCCGGGAUUCGAACUGACGACCUUUGGAUUGUUAGUCCAACUGCCUACCAGCGACUCCACCGAGACAGGACCCAGGGAGACGACUCCUACACCUGGACUGAGCUAACGACCUAACCUUUUUAGGUUAGUCCGGGGCCAACAUUCACUUCCCGUCCGACGGAAGGCGUGAUCAGACAAAUCUCGUCUCGAAAAAUGCCACCGGGACCGUCUGGGAUCGAACCCAGGCCGACUGGGUGAGAGGCAAUCACGCUUACCCCUACACCACGGUCCCGGCACUUACUUGGGGCAAUAUGGGUAUCAAAAUUCAUGGUUUUUGAUACUGGUAAUGAAAAUGACCAUUUUGGCAGGAUUGGCCACACCCGGAGUGGCCAUUGCCCUGGGAAAGGUUCUUCCUGGAGGACAUUUACGGAACCAUACAAAUUGGGGCAAUAUGGGUAUCAAAAUUCAUGGUUUUUGAUACUGGUAAUGAAAAUGGCUAUUUUGGCAGGAUUGGCCACACCCGGAGUGGCCAUUGCCCUGGGGAAGGUUCUUCCUGGAGGACAUUUACGGAACCAUACAAAUUUGGGCAAUAUGGGUAUCAAAAUUCAUGGUUUUUGAUACUGGUGAUGAAAAUGGCUAUUUUGGCAGGAUUGGCCACACCCGGAGUGGCCAUUGCCCUGCGGAAGGUUCUACCGGGAGGACAUUUACGGAACCAUACAAAUUUGGGCAAUAUGGGUAUCAAAAUUCAUGGUUUUUGAUACUGGUAAUGAAAAUGGCUAUUUUGGCAGGAUUGGUCACACCCGGAGUGGCCAUUGCCCCGGGGAAGGUUCUCCCGGGAGGGCAUUUACGGAACCAUACAAAUUUGGGCAAUAUGAGUAUCAAAAUUCAUGGUUUUUGAUACUGGUGAUGAAAAUGGCCAUUUUGGCAGGAUUGGUUAUACCCGGAGUGACCAUUGCCCUGAGGGAAGGUUCUACCGGGGACAUUUAUCGAAUCAUACGACUUGGGGCAAUAUGAGUGUCAAAAUUCAUGGUUUUUGAUACUGGUAAUGAAAAUGGCCAUUUUGGCAGGAUUGGCCACACCCGGAGUGGCCAUUGCCAUGGAGAAGGUUCUACCGGGAGGACAUUUACGGACCCAUACAAAUUGGGGCAAUAUGGGUAUCAAAAUUCAUGGUUUUUGAUACUGGUAAUGAAAAUGGCCAUUUUGGCAGGAUUGGCCACACCCGGAGUGGCCAUUGCCCUGAGGGAAGGUUUUACCGGGAGGACAUUUACGGAACCAUACAAAUUGGGGCAAUAUGGGUAUCAAAAUUCAUGGCAGUGCGUGGCCGAAUGGUUACGCUGUCCGCUUUGUAAGCGGAUGAUUCUGGGUUCGAUUCCCAUCUGCUCUAACCUUCCAUCGGAUGAGGAAGUAAAAUGUCGGUCCCGGCCUUGGAUGUUAGGCCGUUAAGUCAUUCCAAGUGUAGGAGUCGUCUCCAUGCCAUAAGUACAAACAACACACCAAACCAAGCCUACUCCGGUAGAAUCGCUGGCGGCGGUUGGACUCGCAAUCCAAAGGUCGUCAGUUCAAACACUGCACAGUGGUCCAGAUCGCAAAAUUAAGUGGAAAAUGGAUUUUCCGUAAAUUGAUGAAGUUUUGGAGCAUUGGUGUCUUCAGAAGAGUUGUUGCAUAUGGAAAGGGGCAACUUUUGAUUUGGUUGGAAAUUAGGGUGGUUCACUAUUAGGGCGAUUUUGAAAAUCUAACUUUUCAGGAAUAUUUUUGGGAAUUUUUUUGUCUUCUAGAAAGUUGUUGGGCUUGCCAAUUCAAGCAACUUUGUCGAAGACACCAAAAUUUUAUCUCGUAAUCUACGCCUUCUACGACCAAAUUUAUAGAAAGCAUCUGAGCAAACCUUCAAAAAUCAGUUUUUUGAACGUGGCAAUUCAGGGUUAAGUUUUAGAGAAAAGUGGUAUUCGGGGCAAUUUUAGAGCAUAUUUUGGUCAUAUUUUGGGUUUAAAAGGAAACCCAAAAUAUGACCAAAAAUCGAUUUUUUGACACUUUGGGUCAAUUCUGAGGGCAGAUUCAGAUUCAGCGGGCAAAAUUACAUGGAAAAACAUAUAUUUGGACAAUUUUCGAAAUUCGUUAGGGUGGUCCCAUAAGGUUUUCCCUUGAAAAUUAGACUUUUUCAAAUGAAGAUAUCACGAGUUUAAAUAAAAACACCCCUGAGAUUUUUUCAGCGUUUGUAGUGCUGAAUCUCCUCAUUCAAAUGCAUCCUGGAGCUUAAGAUUUGGCUUGCGCCUUUUCGAGAUAUUUAAGUUACCUUUAAAUCGCUGUAACUUUUGACCCUUAAGUCCAAAUUGACUUGUCAAAUAAUAAAAAUGUUUGUUUUUUAGAGCUCUAAAAGUGCCCCGAAUACCACAUUUCUCUUAAACUUAACCCUGAAUUGCCACGUUCAAAAAACUGAUUUUUGACGAGGGGGACGUCACUCCUGCGUUCACCGAGCGAUAAAGCUCCCCUUUUAAACCUUUGCAGCGCUAACAUUUGCUUUUCCGCUUUAACUUGCUUUAACUCGCGUUAACCGCGAUAACUUGCUUUUUGGCUUACCUUUUGUUGCGAUCACGCUUCAAACUGCUCGAUUUUUUUGACAGCGAGAACUGUCAAAAGCAAAUGACAUUUCUCGUUGUCAAACCAUUCGAGCAGUGUAUUUUGCUUUCUUCUUGAAAGAAAAGUGUCAGGGACAAAUCUUCCGCCGGAACCGUAUCCGGCGCUUGUGACGGUUUUGAGUUCCAGGGACUUCAGACGCACGGUCGGCUGGAGGUACUCAAAAUCAAGUUCAAAUUGAUUUUAAGUGGAUUUUUCACUCAAACGACAGUUCAAAAGCUGAACUGUCGUUUGAGUAGUUUGGACUUGCGAUUAAAAUGUCAAGUUGGUGCUUGCAGUUUGCACUGAGCAUUGAACGUUUCUUCAAAGUGGAGGUAAGUAUUGCUCGAAUGCCGUUUUUCACUGUCCCGGAACAGUUCGGGAAGGUUGAUGGACCACUUUCGCAGCUGGCAAUCCAGUUUUCCUUUUGCCGGCAAAGUUGUCUUUUUUAUGUUGAGCCCUUCCGGAUUGUCCGGAAGAUGCAAACGUGGUUCCGGGAAUCAUUUGUUUCUUUGUUUUUGGACCUUCCGGAAAGUCCGGCAGGUGGAAAGAACUUUGGAGGAGAAAUUUGUUUCUUUGUUUUUGGACCUUCCGGAAGGUGCAUAGAACGUUUGAGGAGGAAUUUGUUUCACUGUUUGUGUUCCCUCCGGAUUAUUCCGAAGAUGCUAACAAGGUUAAAGGAGACAUUUGUUUCUUUGUUUAUGGACCUUCCGGACAGUCCGGAAGGUGCAAAACUUGUUGGAGAAGGAAUGUAUUUUCUAUGAUUUUGCAUCUUCCAGACGAUCCGGAUAGUGCAAAAUAGUGCGUCCAUCCCGGGAAUUCCCGGGACAAAAAUCCCGGGAUUUUUCCAAAACCGGGAAUUCCCGAAUCCCGGGAUUUUCUAUAAUUUGUCCCGGGAAUUCCCGAAAUUGAAAAAAAUAUCAUAUUUUGGUCUGGAAAUUCAGAUUUGGUUUUGAAAAUAGUAGAACAAUAAAAUGAAUUAAAAUUUGUAUUCAGCAAAUCUCAGAUUUUUAGGAAAAAAUAUUAUAAUUUUAAUUAACAGGUCCGCAAAAUGCCUAGUGCUUAUUUUUUUUCUCUUGUAUUUUUUUUAAAGACUGGAUUUAUUUACGUAUAUUUUCGAUUUUAAAUUUGAAAGAAAAACAAUCUCAUAUCAAAUGAUUUAUUAUCAAACACCGCCAUCUAGGGCAAAUAAGUACAAAUGUUACAACACGGAAAGGGGAUCGAUCGCCAAACCAGCGACCGAUUUUUGCUGGGUUGGUUUUGCUGAUAUCAGCGAAAUUUUUCUCUAAACCAGCGAAAUUUUUCGCUGAAAAAGGUGGAUGCGCGAAAUCAAAUCCAGCAACUUGGUUUCGCUAGUUUGUUAUUUCCGAAACGGUUUCUUUUCCAGCGAAAGUUUUCGCUGGUUUGAUACACAUCCUUCCGACAGCCGUCAUAAAUGUUUGUUAUUGUUCACGUUUGGAAGCGAUUUGUGGCAAUCGAAUUGCUUUAGGGGUUUUUUCAAAACAAAAAAGCAUGAAAAAGUUCUGCAUCAAGUGUUCAGCAUUAAAAUACAUACUCAACAUGUGAUGGUUCUUUUCAAUGAAAAGAAGCACGUUUCCAUAAAGUUCUCGCAGCAGAAAAAUACGGUGCAGUGAAGCUGGAGAUGUAUUUGUACUGCUGCAUAGAUGAGUGCACAAAUUGUCGCAGGUGGCAGCAAGAAUCGUAGGCGAGGAACUUGACCAUGGCCGCGGAACAGUUUGUGCUGUGGCAAGUAAGUACAACGAGGAACUUGACCAUGGCCGCGGAACAGUUUGUGCUGUGGCAAGUAAGUACAACCUGGCUGGACUUUCUUUUAAUUCUGCUUCCGUUACUGCGAAAUCUUUUCUGACGAUUGUUCCAUCCGUAAACCUCCGUCAACCGGAACGGAACUUUAAGAUUUUUAGGUCGGUAACCGGUCACGCGCUGGAAAAAAUCAACAUUUGUUCAAAACUGUGUCUUUCUUUACACCACCUACACAGAAAAAAAAGUGUAAAUUUACCCAGCACUGAAACCAUGUUUUGCACGUAAACAUGCUCAAUGUAAAUUUGAAAUUUAAUGUAAAGGGUUGUAUUGCAUUUAAAGUGCCCUGAUGUAAUAUGAGAUUCAAUGUAAUGUGUGAAUCUCAUUUAAAUCAAACUUUCAUUUCGGGAAACAUAGAAAUUUGAAAAUAUGAAAGGCAUGUAAAUGUAUUUCCGAUGUAAAAUUUUCGGAAUGUAAACUCAAAAAGCGUUUAAAUUUUGAUUAUUUUGCGAAUGACAGCUGUUGUUGUUGUUGUUAAUUCAUUUAUUUCUGGCAGCUUUAACCUUCUUGGGCGAAUGACAGCUGACCAAAACAAAUCACUCUAAUUGUUGUUAUUGUUUGGCGCGGACUCAAGUGGAAGUGUUUUUCUUUCAAUUACUAUGUAAAAGCUAUACUUUUGUGGAAAAGCCUAUUUCGAUGUUGUUACUGGUUGUGUUUCUUGCAAAUAUUAUCGAAUAACAAGGAAUGUUACAGCUGCCCUUCGAAGAAGGUUCUGGAAGCAGUUUACUGUAAAGUUAUACAUCUGAAGGGCAUGUUUAGAUGCAAAUUAGUAACAUUUUGAACAUUGACAAAUAAAUCGCUAUAAUUAAAGGUAAGUUGUCAACUAAAAGUUGAUUUGUUGCAUAAUAAUAUAUUGUUAAAUAGCUAUUCGAAGGUGUGCCAGGUUUAACGUCCAAAAGUUUUUUGCUAGCUGAUAUCUGUGCUGGUGUUUUCCUUGGCCAGAUUUUGAAUCCUUUUUCCCGCUUCCGGCGGUUCUUGCAAAAUUGCAUCGACUUGUUGGCAUUAGGAUGGAGAAAGGUUCGUUUAACCGGAACCGACGAGGUCAACUUACCACAGCACGAUUUGCUGAGAGAGGGAUGAGGCGGCUAAUUUUCGUCAAAUCCUUCUCCGGGGACGUAUUUGAUUCGUCAGAUUAACAUCCAUUUCCAUAGUCGAUGUAGAAGCGAUUUACGUCAAUUUCUCGAAAUAAGAUAGUUGCUGAAUAAAAAAGUUUGAGGUCAAGUUUAUGCGUUAACGGUACACAUCAACCAUAGCUUUUGCACCCAGAUAUCGGUUACAGACAUUUUAGUAUCUUCAAAAGUACGGGAACUAUCGAUUUGAUUUUUUAUUCAUCCCCUAAACUACUGUCUUCAAAGUUAUUUGCAAUAAAGUUUGACUAUUUUGACAAUCCGAUUCUUUCAGGAUUGGGUCCGUAAGUUUGACAAAUUUGGAAUAAGAAGACAACAACUUCCUCGGUUGCUGUGUACCCUUAAGGAAUAUUUUUCUUUUUGGUUCACUUUUUACAUACUUUUUAAGCUCAAAAAUGAGAAAAAGAAACACAAAUUAAAAUAUACCUAGAUUGCAGAAGGAACUUUUUUGUUUACAACGUUUCAAACACUCAAAAUAAUCCACACGUUGAUGCUACCUGAAAAAUCACGUAACCCCGAUUUUCCCCUCGCUAGGCUCGUUUUACGUGACACACGUAAAAAUAAUGUGAAAGUGUACUGGCAAAAAAAAAUUUUCACGUUGAUGUUACGUGAAAAGCCUUAUGGUAUUUUUCCACUAGGGUUUUCCUUGUAGUUUUUAUGUUUUUUGAAAUGUAACUUCAACGGAACUCGAAUGCAUCAUUCGACGAAAUUUCUACGUGAUUAUUUUAGUAUGAAAAUUGAUGGCGUCCGGCGAAGACUGGCUGCCGAACUUGUUCUCGCAAAAUUUCAUCAAAAAUAGAACAGAAGGUAAGUUUAAUUAAGUUUGAAUGAUUUUAUUUAUAAAUAAUUAUUUAUUUAUUUUUUUGCAGCGGCCGAACUCUGAAAGCAGCACACAUUUACCGGUGGCCACUCGGAUUCUUGCCAGUUCUAAUAUAAGCGGUUGGUCGUGGUGAUCGACGCAACCGAGCAUGUCACGGACAUUGCGGACACUUGCCGGGGUGCUCCGGAAGAGUGCGAUGUUUAUUUGCGGCCAUCUUCUCGUCGGCCUUGGCCUUGGUGCCCUCGCCAAAGUUGUUCGAAGCAACAAGCUGUAUCCGGCAAGAUCAACGAACCCGUGCAAGGAAUUUGAGAGCUGAACCAAUCAUCUUUAACAUCUUUCUGGCCACGCCAAUCGGAAACUUUGCCUAGUUGCUUACAAAGAACCCCCCCUGGUGAUGUGCAGCCACGUUAACGUGGCACGGACAGAAGUACCGCAACUAACGACAAUGACUUUGAAACGGGUUCCCGUGCGGCCACGAAGUGCAGCGGAAACAGAAAGCUACGCACGAACGUCUUCCUGCUCGGUUUCAUGAGAGACUGGGCCAUUUUUUACCAUGUUAGCAAAGGAAAAUUGAAUAAAACUAUGUUUUGAAUUUGAAUUAGAUCUGCAUUUCUUGAUUUUUUUCUUUUUGAUAAAAAAAAAAUAUCUGAAAUUAGACCAUAUUAGUACUAGAAGGAUCCUUUAAUGUUUACUACAACAAACAUGUAGAAAUCAUCAAUUGAUUCAUUUAGCUUUUACGUGUGAAGCACGUAGAAACGACGUGAAAUGAUCUGGCCAAGCAAAUUCCGUUUCUACUAGGGCCGCCUAGUAGAAGUUACGUGAAAACUUUAGUGGAAAAAUACCACAUAGCUUUUCACGUAACUUCAACGUGAAUAUUUUUUUGAGUGAACGCAAAAUUCGUAAUCAGAACGUCAAAUCAUUAGGAGUGUUGUCACACGAAUAUCUUCAAAUACUGAGAAUUCGGGUUUAUUCAGGUCCCUGUGAUGGCGGCCAUUUUCUUGAAACCAAAACAUCUGACGCCGACGAGAAGAUAAAGAAGAAAACAAAACAAAACACAUCUGUCAAAUUCAUUAAAUUGCAUCAACAAACCGAACCGCGUGUUUCGAUCCACUCUGAUUUUUGUUUAAAUGACAACAUAUCAUGGAUUCCGCCUAAAAAGGGUUUAAUUUCAUGUACGGGUUCCGAGAAAUUCCUUCCGGCAAGCUUAUUGUUAGCAGGAAGCGGAACCGCGGAAGCUCCCUCCACUGACAACGAUAACCAGAUCAAACCAGGCCAUUCCGGUGCAAACAACCGUCAUCAGCCCAGCCAGUUGUGCAGAUCGGGCAGGUUGUGUUUUUAAAUAUAUUUCGGCUUCAAAAAACCAUUCGGGGUGCUCCUUCUUGAACGAACCCCCGUUAUUUUCCGGAUAGUUAGCUAGACCACGACGAACAUUUGGUGGUAGCUUUGACACUUCCGACACUCAAUGAUGAACACUUUUUUUUUUCACGCCACGCUGCUGCAAAGAAUUUCACAUUUUAAAAGGUUUGACCGUUUUAACGUUUCUAGAUGUAAACAGUAGGCCGUCACCUACCAAUACAUCAGCAGCUGAUUUCAGAUAGGGGCUACUCACAAACACUAAUGCGUGGGUUUGUUUUCAGACAGGGGCUACUCACUAAUACUGUUGCAAGAUUAUGGUGAUGGCCGAGUAGAGUAUCCCUUUACUCUGACACCACCCCCCUGGGUUUAUUACAACAGCGAUAAGCAGAGUACUCUAAUUUACGUUAACUAUAGCUUUAUGUAAAAGUGUGUAUUAUGGAACGGAUAAUUACCAUUGUUAUCAUUACAGAUUGUCAAGGGAAACAAAUUGGUCGAUGCAAAAUAAAUCGGCACUGGCAACGUAUGUUUUUCGCUUGCAACACUGCCAGUUUUGCUGGACGUAAAAGGCGGUUGGUGACUAGCGCGUUUUAACUAUCAAUUAUUGGUCAAUCUGUUUCCCUUGACAAUCUGGAGUUAUCAUUACUUUUAAAAUUACACUGACGUCAUCCGUAACCACGAUUUUUUUUUAAUUUAAGGCUCACACAAAAUCCAAACUGUAGAACAGUAGCUGGGCUCCCCUUUCAAAAUUUUCAGAUGGCUAGAUAUCCCCGCCUUAGAGACGAAACCGAACGUAUAAUUGCAACACACAUACGACAAUGCGAGCAGCGUGCAAAAGAGCAACUUUUGCUUAUGAUCGACUACGAACUUGCAUACAUGAACACUAAUCAUGAAGAUUUUAUUGGUUUUGCAAA